rnacentral:lncRNA from 1 species
UGUUAACUCACAAAACAUUCUUUUCAAUGACACCAUUUCUUUAAGAAGGAGUUUUAGCCAUUAUUAUGAUAAAAAGCAAGUACCGUGUAAAAAUCAAUGUGGAACAGGAAAUAGGAGAAUGUCAGAUUCAAUCCUAAGGCUUGAGAAUUUGUGCAGUAUCGAACAGGUACAUGUAUGGAAAUUAAAAUGUUCUCUUUCCAAAAACGUAUCAAUUUUUCAAAUAACUAAAUUGUUAGGAAAUAAAUACUUCAGUUGUUUGCCCCUAACUACUUAAUAAAUGGAACUGUUAGCUAUUUCUUUUGACCUAUAGGCACCAUGGAAAAUUAUUACUGAGACACUAAGGAGAAGAGACUUUGGACUAUGCAGCCAUGAACCAGGAGAAACCUGAGAGAAUCACACGAAUGCCCAGAGAGAUGCAAAGCUAGAAUACUUGAGACACUGCCCCAACCCACUUCCAGUCCUCAAGUCCCCAAGCUUCCUGCCACAGUUCUUAACUUAGGUUAGCCCUCCAGUAUCAUGCCAAUAAAGCCACCUUAUCUUGUUGGUUUAUUUAAGCUCUGAUUCAGUUUUUAUCACCAAUAACCUAGAGUCCUGAGUAACAAAUAUCAGAUGAUUCAAACAUUCAGCCUGGUUUCCUUUGUGAAAUCGUAACUGAAUAUUGUAUAUCAAGGUUUUGUUGUCUUUUAUUUUUUGUCUUUAUAGGGGUGCACCUGAGGCAUAUGGAGCCCAAGAAAUAGCAAAAAGACAAAAAAAAAAAAAAAAUUUCUUAAGUAAUCAAAGUCCAUUAUACUCGAAAAUUACAGCUUUAAAAAAAAGAAAAUUACAGCUUCAAAGAAAAGUAAAACAUUCAUUUUUAUAAAUAUUAAAAGUAUUUUCUCAAUACUUAAACUUCCAGAAAUAAAUUAGAGUUUAUAUUUACUUCCUAGAAAGUUUUUUUUUUUUACUAUAAAUCAAAGACAGCAGUGAUUUUGGCAAUGAGGACAAUUUUCAGUUCAUUCACUGUACUUAAUGAUUGAAAUAAAAAUCUAUUUAACAAAUAACAAAGAUAAAUAUUUUCAAAAAUAAAGAUAAAAGUAAACACUUCUGGGAGAAAAACUUUAUCAGAACCAUAUCAAUUAAAAAUGGCAAUUACAGCUAAUUUUUAUGUUCUGUGACAAGGAGAUCAUGUAGACCUAUCGCAAAUAAAGUUUUAUCAGAAAGAAAAAUAACUAAUCAGCUGGCUACCAUUCAGUAGCUUUUUUUGGGUACCCCCCCUCGGCUUUUUAGGGCUCCACACCCGGCAUAUGGAGGUUCCCAGGCUAGCACGGAGUCGAAUCAGAGCUACAGCUGCCAGCCCACACCACAGCCACAGCAAUGUCAGAUCCGAGCCAUGUCUGUGACCUACACCACAGCUCAGGGCAAUGCCAGAUCCUUAACCCACUGAGAGGGGACAGGGAUCGAACCCACAACCUCAUGGU